GGUUAAGCGACUAAGCGUACACGGUGGAUGCCCUGGCAGUCAGAGGCGAUGAAGGACGUGCUAAUCUGCGAUAAGCGUCGGUAAGGUGAUAUGAACCGUUAUAACCGGCGAUUUCCGAAUGGGGAAACCCAGUGUGAUUCGUCACACUAUCAUUAACUGAAUCCAUAGGUUAAUGAGGCGAACCGGGGGAACUGAAACAUCUAAGUACCCCGAGGAAAAGAAAUCAACCGAGAUUCCCCCAGUAGCGGCGAGCGAACGGGGAGCAGCCCAGAGCCUGAAUCAGUGUGUGUGUUAGUGGAAGCGUCUGGAAAGGCGCGCGAUACAGGGUGACAGCCCCGUACACAAAAAUGCACAUGCUGUGAGCUCGAUGAGUAGGGCGGGACACGUGGUAUCCUGUCUGAAUAUGGGGGGACCAUCCUCCAAGGCUAAAUACUCCUGACUGACCGAUAGUGAACCAGUACCGUGAGGGAAAGGCGAAAAGAACCCCGGCGAGGGGAGUGAAAAAGAACCUGAAACCGUGUACGUACAAGCAGUGGGAGCACGCUUAGGCGUGUGACUGCGUACCUUUUGUAUAAUGGGUCAGCGACUUAUAUUCUGUAGCAAGGUUAACCGAAUAGGGGAGCCGAAGGGAAACCGAGUCUUAACUGGGCGUUAAGUUGCAGGGUAUAGACCCGAAACCCGGUGAUCUAGCCAUGGGCAGGUUGAAGGUUGGGUAACACUAACUGGAGGACCGAACCGACUAAUGUUGAAAAAUUAGCGGAUGACUUGUGGCUGGGGGUGAAAGGCCAAUCAAACCGGGAGAUAGCUGGUUCUCCCCGAAAGCUAUUUAGGUAGCGCCUCGUGAAUUCAUCUCCGGGGGUAGAGCACUGUUUCGGCAAGGGGGUCAUCCCGACUUACCAACCCGAUGCAAACUGCGAAUACCGGAGAAUGUUAUCACGGGAGACACACGGCGGGUGCUAACGUCCGUCGUGAAGAGGGAAACAACCCAGACCGCCAGCUAAGGUCCCAAAGUCAUGGUUAAGUGGGAAACGAUGUGGGAAGGCCCAGACAGCCAGGAUGUUGGCUUAGAAGCAGCCAUCAUUUAAAGAAAGCGUAAUAGCUCACUGGUCGAGUCGGCCUGCGCGGAAGAUGUAACGGGGCUAAACCAUGCACCGAAGCUGCGGCAGCGACGCUUAUGCGUUGUUGGGUAGGGGAGCGUUCUGUAAGCCUG
rnacentral:rRNA from 1 species